rnacentral:rRNA from 1 species
GUCUACGGCCAUACCACCCUGAACGUGCCCAACCUCACCUGAUCUCGGAAGCUAAGCAGGGUUGGGCCUGGUUAGUACUUGGAUGGGAGACCGCCUGGAAAUACCAGGAGAGGAGAGG